CCGACUUCAUAUCAUUAAAGUGCGGAGACGCUCCUCGUUCCCAGAGGACCCCUGGCCAUUGCAGCGAUGAUGUCCGUGAAUAAACCCAAGCCAUUCUAUGUUUGCAUACUGAAUGUGUUUUUUUCACCCUCAAUCCAGUGACGGAAGUUCUAAUAUGCUUUAAAAUUGAGUGAGAGCAACAUUCGUCGGCGCAUCGUCGUGAAAUGCGCGCGCCCGUACGAAAUCCUCAAAACCCGCAGAAAGACACACAAGGCUCUUAUUGUUACAGAAGCAGAGUGGAGUUCCACACGUGAAUGAUCUCCACUGGAGAGAUGUAACCACAGUCACACCUACACUAGAUAGCGGAAAUGCAUUGAAAAGUCCUGGAAUCUGGCACAGCAAAAUGGAGAAGCUCAGAUUUUCUUGAUACAACCCAUCCUUUGCAGGUCACAGCACAGACAGACACACCAUGGAUCUCUUUUGGGUUCUGUACUCCACGCUGACUGUAUGUAUGGCCAUCAAUAUGGAAGCUACUGGAAGCCAUAGCCUGUUUACCUGUGAGCCUAUCACAUUAAGGAUGUGCCAGGGUCUCUCCUACAAUACCACCUUUAUGCCCAACCUUCUAAAUCACUAUGAUCAGCAGACCGCUGCUCUCGCCAUGGAGCCCUUUCAUCCCAUGGUGAACUUGGAGUGUUCUACUGAAAUACGGCCGUUCCUGUGUGCCCUUUACGCACCCGUGUGCACCGAGUACGGCCGCGUGACCCUGCCAUGUCGGCGCCUGUGCCAGCAUGCCAAGAGCGAUUGCUACAAGCUGAUGGACAUGUUUGGGGUCACCUGGCCAGAUGAGAUGGAUUGUAGCAGGUUUCCAGACUGUGAUGAGUCUUACCCCAGAGCAAUAGACCUGCUCCCGAGCCGUGACGAGACGGAGGAAUCUCCCUCAUCAGUUCAGCGGGACUACGGCUUCUGGUGCCCACGAGAGCUGAAGAUUGAACCUGACUUGGGCUACUCGUUCAUGGGCGUGCGUGACUGCUCGCCUCCCUGCCCGAACAUGUACUUCCGCAAAGACGAGCUCAUCUUCGCCCGCUAUUUCAUUGGCGUUGUCUCCAUAGUCUGCCUGUCGGCGACGCUCUUCACUUUCCUGACCUUCCUCAUCGAUGUCGGGCGCUUCCGUUACCCUGAACGGCCCAUCAUUUUCUACGCGGUCUGCUACAUGAUGGUAUCCCUAGUCUUCUUCCUGGGCUUCCUGCUGGAGGAUCGCGUGUCAUGCAACGCAGCAAGCCCGGGUCGUUUCCGCGCCUCCACCAUCACCCAGGGCUCCCACAACAAGGCCUGCACACUGCUCUUCAUGACGCUCUACUUCUUCACCAUGGCUGGAAGCGUUUGGUGGGUCAUCCUCACCAUCACCUGGUUCCUGGCGGCCGUUCCCAAAUGGGGAAGUGAAGCUAUCGAGAAGAAGGCUUUGCUGUUCCACGCGGUGGCUUGGGGCAUCCCGGGAGCCCUUACCAUCACCCUCAUGGCUAUGAACAAAAUAGAAGGCGACAGCAUUAGCGGCGUUUGUUUUGUAGGGCUCUAUGACCUCAUGGCCUUGCGCUGGUUUCUCUUGGUGCCUCUGGCAUUAGAUGUGGUCGUAGGCGUGGUGCUGCUGUUAGCGGGGAUUGCAGCGCUGAAUAGGGUCCGGAUGGAGAUUCCCCUAGAGAAGGAGAACCAGGACAAACUGGUGAAGUUCAUGAUCCGGAUUGGGGUGUUCUCCGUCCUGUAUCUGGUGCCUCUGCUGACAGUCAUUGGGUGCUAUCUGUAUGAGCAGAGCCACAGAUCAGUUUGGGAGACCACCUGGGUACAGGAGCGCUGUAGAGAGUAUCACAUCCCUUGUCCGUUUAAGGUGGAACAGACAAGCAGGCCAGAUAUCGCCUUGUUCCUCAUCAAGUACCUGAUGAUGCUGGUGGUGGGAAUCCCAUCAGUGUUUUGGGUCGGUAGUAAAAAGACCUGCUUCGAGUGGGCCAGUUUCUUCAAUGGGCAUCGCAGAAAAGACACCGCAGUGCACGAAAGCAGGCAGGUGCUGCAGGAGCCCGACUUCACCCAGCUCCUCCUCAGGGACCCCAACACCCCAGUGGUGAGGAAGUCUAGAGGCACCUCAACGCAGGGCACCUCCACCCACGCCUCCUCCACUCACCUCGCCAUGUUGGACGAACCCCCCAGUGCCAGCACCAGCCGCGCAGGCAGCAUGCGCAGCAAAUCAAGCAGCUUCCACGGCAGCCUGCACCGCUCCAGAGAUGGCAGGUACACAGCUUGCAGUUAUCGUGGCGUCGAGGAACGCACCCUGCGCCUUGAUGAUCCGCUCCAGCAUUGCGGCGUCAACCGUCUCAACAGCCAUUCACGGCACGGCAGUCUGCAGCGCCUAGAGAGCAAAUCACGGCACAGCAGUGUGCGAGACCUCACCAUCACAGCACAGGCCAUCCAAAGCAGCCCGGGCAAUGGCAUUCACCGCGUUGUAGGGGAGGAUGCGACCAUGGCAUGAACUUUAACGUGGCAGCAAAUAAGAGCCCAAAUAAGUAAAAAGAACAUGGACUUUUGGCACAAACUCCUCAUGAUGGAUGGCACAAAUACAACAGAGUUCAAACAGAGAGCCAUGUGCAGCUAACCUUGCAGAUAGUUGAGCUACAUUAACGAAAUGGACUUCUUGAAUUCAGAGGUUGUAAAGUUGAGUUAUGGAUUAUACCAAACACUUGAAAUCUUUUGACGUACACUACCAUUCAAAGGUUUGGGGUCAUGUAUAUACAUGUACUGUUAUCUUUUCUCAAGUAAAGUUUGUGUGGAACCUCAUAAUCAAGGGUUCCUACUUUAACAGGGUCAAACGUAAGAGCUUUUGAUACGUUAUCAUUCUGUGACGUUUAGGCUCUUGCUGUUUUAUACUUACAUGAUAUAGCCUUUUGGAGUUGUUCCACUGCGGAUGUGGUUUUGAAUGUUUCUUUCCAUUGUUUAUUGCACUUUUGACCAUUUUGUAGAACAGAACUAGUGAUGAAUGCUGACAUAUCUGCACAUUUGGGUUAAAUUUAAAUGGACUGUGCACCCAAAAAUGAAAAUUUGGUCAAAUUUACUCACCAUUGUGACAUUUCAAACAUGUAUAAUUUUUUUUUUCCUGUGGAAGACAAAAUUAGAAGUUUAGCAGAAUGAACAAGCUUCUCUUUUUCCAUACAGUGAUAGUGAAUAGUGGCGAAAAGCUACUAAAAAUUAUUAUACAUAAAAUUGUUAACAACUUAUGUGAAUUUCUUUCCAAGUCUUCUGAUAUGUGUGUGUGGGGGGGGGGACAUGUAAGUCAUUAGUCAAUCAAUAAUCAUUUCCAGUGCCAGUGUCCUGAAGCAUAAAGAGCUGAAUUUAAAAAGCAUAGAAUUUAAAAAGCAUAAAACUUUAAAAAAAAAAGAUGUAGAUUAGAUAUUAUAGGCAUUUUACGAAUGGAAAUUGGCUCAUCCUUUCCAACCAAUCUCUUCUCUGUUGAGUUUUAGCACUAAUAGUAAUAGUCAAGUCAUUUUCGUGACAUUUACCGAAAACUGUGAAAAGCUUUUUUGUUAACAUGCUGAGAUCCUGAGUGCUUUAUGUACAAAAUAAAACAUCACUCUCAAAUCUUUC